rnacentral:tRNA from 1 species
GUUCCUGUAGGCUAAUGGAUAAACCAUCCGGCUACGAACCGGCAAUUGGGAGUUCGAAUCUCUUCAGGAACA